rnacentral:rRNA from 1 species
CUACGGGGCGCUGCAGUUAGGUAUAAUCUACAAUGCGCGCAAGCGUGAUAGUUUGAGCCAGAGUGCGUAUCUAUUGAUAUGCUUUUGCCGAGUGUAAAAAGCUCGGCGAAUAAGGACUGGGUAAGACAGGUGCCAGCCGCCGCGGUAAUACCUGCGGUCCAAGUCGCAGCCAUGAUUAUGGGUCUAAAACAUCCGUAGCUUGUUCUGCAAGUUUCUUGUGAAAUAUUAUGUCUUAAACAUGAUGCGUGCAAGAAGUACUACAGAACUAGAGACAGGGAGACGUGAGGAGUAUGUUUGAAGUAGCGGUAAAAUGUUCUAAUCUCAAACAGACUAACAAUAGCGAAGGCACCUCACGAGAACUGUUCUGACAGUAAGGGAUGAAGGCUAGGGGCGCAAAACGGAUUAGAUACCCCCGUAGUC